rnacentral:rRNA from 1 species
AUUGAACGCUGGCGGCAGGCUAAACACAUGCAAGUCGAGCGAGCGGCGGACGGGUGAGUAAUGUAUGGGAAACUGCCUGAUGGAGGGGGAUAACUACUGGAAACGGUAGCUACUACCGCAUACCAUGGGAUGUGCCCAGAGUGGAUUCGCUAGUGGGUGGGGUAAUGGCUCACCUAGGCGACGAUCCCUAGCUGGUCUGAGAGGAUGACCGGCCACACUGGAACUGAGACACGGUCCAGACUCCUACGGGAGGCAGCAGUGGGGAAUAUUGCACAAUGGGCGCAAGCCUGAUGCAGCCAUGCCGCGUGUAUGAAGAAGGCCUUCGGGUUGUAAAGUACUUUCAGCGGGGAGGCGUUACCCGCAGAAGAAGCACCGGCUAACUCCGUGCCAGCAGCCGCGGUAAUAC